UACGGAAUGUGCAAACGUUAUUCGGAAUCACUGGGCUUAAAGAGUCCGUAGGCGGCAUGUUAGGUGAGGUGUGAAAUCCCCCGGCUCAACCGAGGAAUUGCGCUUCAAACCGGCGUGCUUGAGGAAGAUAGAGGUGGGCGGAACUGAUGGUGGAGCGGUGAAAUGCGUUGAUAUCAUCAGGAACACCGGAGGCGAAGGCGGCCCACUGGGUCGUUUUCUGACGCUGAGGGACGAAAGCUAGGGGAGCGAAGCGGG
rnacentral:rRNA from 1 species